UUGGUGCCGUCAUCAGACUUCACCCUGAGCAGGGCGGGCCCCUCCCUCGCUGGUCUGUUACCGUGGCAACUCCAUCGACUGUCCAGGGCGGCGGUGCUCUACGCGCAGACGUCAAAAGGCUCCGCCCUCCACAGUCGACAAAUCAAAGCCGUGCCCUACCCCCUGCUGUUUCCCCGCAGCAGCCAAUCAGAGUGCAGGGUUACAGCCGAGGGGGGCGGGGCUUGCUGCAGCGACCGACAGGCGAACAGGACGGACGUCUGCAUUCCUCUGGGGGGCUUCGCCAGCCACCAGGGGCCAGCCAAUCGGUGAAGCGUAUGUGUGCAGACAGCUGGGUGACAUAGGGGUCAGAGGUUAAGCGUGAUGAGUGUUGAUGUCACCUAAUACUGUUGUGUUAGUGUUUAUUAAGUAGCAUUACCGAAGCUUUAAAUGCAUGCAAAUGAGCUGUAAAUUACAUUUAAGAGCUGUUAAUUUAUUGUAAUGUGUUAGAAAUUACUUAGCCAUCCAUCAACUAUUAGUGAAAUUCUUUCUGAGAAUAUUUCUUUGUGAGUUGACCACUGUCCACUGCCUCUGUAGGAGAGCAUUUAGAGCACGGGUCUCAAACUCAACCUACCAGGGGGCCGCUGGAGGUAGAGUCUGGGUCGGGCUGGGCCCCAUCAAUUAUUCAACAGAAAAAAGGAGCACAACUGACCCAAUCUAAGUUAAUAAUCGGGCUAUAAUUAGAUCACGUUGGCUAUUUAAUUGCUGACAACACGGGACAUUUCAUAGCGGUUGGUGGAAAUCGGGACAUUUUAGCGUCCUUUGGCUUUUGUCGGGACUCAGGACACGCAACUCAAAAUUGGGACUGUCCCGGCAAAACCGGGACAUCUGGUCACCCUAUCACAAGCGAUAAAAAA